UACGUAGGGUGCAGGCGUUAAUCGGAAUUACUGGGCGUAAAGCGUGCGCAGGCGGUCUUUUAAGUCAGAUGUGAAAUCCCCGGGCUUAACCUGGGAACUGCGUUUGAAACUGAAAGGCUAGAGUGUGGCAGAGGGGGGUGGAAUUCCACGUGUAGCAGUGAAAUGCGUAGAGAAUGUGGAGGAACACCGAUGGCGAAGGCAGCCCCCUGGGCUAACACUGACGCUCAUGCACGAAAGCGUGGGGGAGCAAACAGG
rnacentral:rRNA from 1 species